rnacentral:rRNA from 1 species
UACGUAGGGGGCAAGCGUUGUCCGGAUUUACUGGGUGUAAAGGGCGCGUAGGCGGGUUUGUAAGUCAGAGGUGAAAUCCUGCGGCUCAACCGUAGAACUGCCUUUGAUACUGCAAACCUUGAGUUCAGAAGAGAGAGACGGAAUUCCAGGUGUAGUGGUGAAAUACGUAGAUAUCUGGAAGAACACCAGUGGCGAAGGCGGUCUCUUGGUCUGUAACUGACGCUGAGGCG